UAGUAACGGCGAGUGAAGAGGGAAAAGCUCAAAUUUUGAAUCUGACGUCUUCGGCGUUCGAGCUGUAAUCUAGAGAAGUGUUUUCCGUGUCGGACCGUGCACAAGUUCCCUGGAACGGGGCGUCAUAGAGGGUGAGAAUCCCGUACGUGGCACGGACUCCCGGUGCUCUGCGAUACACUCUCAACGAGUCGAGUUGUUUGGGAAUGCAGCUCAAAAUGGGUGGUAAAUUCCAUCUAAAGCUAAAUAUUGGCGAGAGGCCGAUAGCGAACAAGUACCGUGAGGGAAAGAUGAAAAGCACUUUGGAAAGAGAGUGAAACAGUACGUGAAAUUGUUGAAAGGGAAGCGUUUGAAGUCAGUCGCGUCUGUCGGGGUUCAGCCUGGCUUCUGCCUGGUGUAUUCCCUGUCCGACGGGUCAGCAUCAGCUUCGACCGAGAGAAAAAGGCUUGGGGAAUGUGGCCGUCUUCGGGCGGUGUUAUAGCCCUUUGUCGUAUGUCUCGGUUGGGACUGAGGACUGCAGCGCGCCUUACGGCCGGGGUUCGCGCCCUCGGUACGCGCUUAGGA
rnacentral:rRNA from 1 species